rnacentral:rRNA from 1 species
AACGAACGCUGGCGGCAUGCCUAACACAUGCAAGUCGAACGAGACCUUCGGGUCUAGUGGCGCACGGGUGCGUAACGCGUGGGAACCUGCCCUUAGGUUCGGAAUAACUCCCCGAAAGGGGUGCUAAUACCGGAUCAUGUCUUCGGACCAAAGAUUUAUCGCCUUUGGAUGGGCCCGCGUUGGAUUAGCUAGUUGGUAGGGUAAAAGCCUACCAAGGCGACGAUCCAUAGCUGGUCUGAGAGGAUGAUCAGCCACACUGGGACUGAGACACGGCCCAGACUCCUACGGGAGGCAGCAGUGGGGAAUAUUGGACAGUGGGCGAAAGGCUGAUCCAGCAAUGCCGCGUGAGUGAUGAAGGCCUUAGGGUUGUAAAGCUCUUUUACCCGGGAUGAUAAUGACAGUACCGGGAGAAUAAGCUCCGGCUAACUCCGUG